rnacentral:rRNA from 1 species
GACGUAGGGCGCGAGCGUUGUCCGGAUUUAUUGGGCGUAAAGAGCUCGUAGGCGGCUUGUCGCGUCGACUGUGAAAACCCGCGGCUUAACUGCGGGACUGCAGUCGAUACGGGCAGGCUAGAGUUCGGUAGGGGAGACUGGAAUUCCUGGUGUAGCGGUGAAAUGCGCAGAUAUCAGGAGGAACACCGGUGGCGAAGGCGGGUCUCUGGGCCGAUACUGACGCUGAGGAGCGAAAGCGUGGGGAGCGAACAGG